rnacentral:rRNA from 1 species
UGCCAGCAGCCGCGGUAAGACGGAGGGUGCUAGCGUUGCUCGGAAUUACUGGGCAUAAAGAGCACGUAGGCGGACUACUAAGUCGGGUGUGAAAUCCCUCGGCCCAACCGAGGAACUGCGCCCGAUACUGGUAGUCUUGAGGACAGGAGGGGAGCGUGGAAUUCCUGGUGGAGCGGUGAAAUGCGUUGAUAUCAGGAGGAACACCGGCGGCGAAGGCGACGCUCUGGCCUGUUUCUGACGCUGAGAUGCGAAAGCGUGGGGAGCAAACAGGAUUAGAUA